rnacentral:rRNA from 4 species
ACGGGUGAGUAACACGUGAGCAAUCUGCCCUUCACUUUGGGAUAACUUCCGGAAACGGAAGCUAAUACCGAAUACGACCACUUCACGCAUGUGAUGGUGGUGGAAAGUUCCGGCGGUGAAGGAUGAGCUCGCGGCCUAUCAGCUUGUUGGUGAGGUAAUGGCUCACCAAGGCUUCGACGGGUAGCCGGCCUGAGAGGGUGACCGGCCACACUGGGACUGAGACACGGCCCAGACUCCUACGGGAGGCAGCAGUGGGGAAUAUUGGACAAUGGGCGAAAGCCUGAUCCAGCAACGCCGCGUGAGGGAUGACUGCCUUCGGGUUGUAAACCUCUUUCAGCGGGGACGAAGCGAAAGUGACGGUACCCGCAGAAGAAGCACCGGCCAACUACGUGCCAGCAGCCGCGGUAAUACGUAGGGUGCGAGCGUUGUCCGGAAUUAUUGGGCGUAAAGGGCUCGUAGGCGGUUUGUCACGUCGGGAGUGAAAACUCAGGGCUCAACCCUGAGCCUGCUUCCGAUACGGGCAGACUAGAGGUAUGCAGGGGAGAACGGAAUUCCUGGUGUAGCGGUGAAAUGCGCAGA